UCCAGCUCCAGCCGCACAAAAUGAUCUAACAUAUGUAACCCUAUUGUCAAAACUGUUAGGCAGAGAGGCGCGGGAAAAUUUUCACUAAAAUAUUAAUAUUUAAAAAACUAUAAUAGUUAUAAACACCAAAAGUCAUAGCACACCAUUCCUGAUCCAGCCGCACAAAAUGAGGUAACAUAUAUGAAGCUUGUCUCAAAACUGCGGGGCGAGAUUCGCUGCAAAAUUUCAGGCGGAAACUGGAGAAUAAUAAUAAUAAUAAUAAUAAUAAUAAUAAUAAUAAUAAAUCCGACGAAUAGUAAUAUGUGUGCCUCUUGGCAUAGGCACACAUAACUAGAAAGCGAAAAUUUCAGAAGAAAUUUUAUGUGUGCCUAUGCCGCUGCUAAUCUGUGUAGUUUUCCAUUCAUACGGCUACAGACAGCAAAACUCAGAAGAGCAGCCAUUCUCCACCAUGAAUUAUGGUAAAAACAAACACCGCUCGCGCCUCACAGAUGACAGCUUACAGUUUUGGGUAAAGAUGAGGUCACUUUGUACAGCCCCGAUUUGCAGACGCUGUGCACACAGGUUCAUAAGCAGAAGUCCCUCUGUACCACGGCAGACCCCGACAAUGUUUGCACGAACACACUUUGAACCAGUACGUUAUGGACCACUUUUCACACAUGGUUGGUGUACCCUCCCAGCCAGCUGUAGCUUUUCAACUCACAGCCCGACACACACCCAAAAAACAGCCGAGAGAGCACAGACUACGCCCGAGAGGUGUGAUUGCAGAUGCCCCUCAGGUGGGUCCACCUCCCCUGCAGCGGCACUGCAGACCACGCCCCGCCACACAUAUCAAACACGUAAAAUAAAUAUUUAUGCACUUUUGCAUUCACUUUUUGUUUUUGUUAUUUUUACACAGUGUUCUGAAUGAUGAACAAUGGUCUACAGCCAAUCUUGUGUAUUAUUAUACAAACUUUGGUUGUAAGAUUCAGAUAACUAUUUAAUAAAAGCUAAAUAUUUUAUACAGGGAGUGCAGAAUUAUUAGGCAAAUGAGUAUUUUGUCCACAUCAUCCUCUUCAUGCAUGUUGUCUUACUCCAAGC
ensembl:lncRNA